AGGAGUAUAUACACAACAACAUACAUACACGGUCAAACUCUAAUUUUUCCAUUAGCUUUCAUUUUCCUCCAUAGAACACACUCACAUACCAUCACUGAGUAUCACACACACGCACAGAUUCUCGAAUUCAUAGAGAGAGAUUGAGAGAGAUAAAGGUGAGAAUCCAAGGAGAGGUAGAGGUGGCGUUUGGUCACUGCUCCGGCGACAAAACGUCAAUAGUUAGCGGAAAAAGUGAAAUCGGCGAUCAAAAAAUACCACCCCACCACUACUCAAUAGCCAAAAAUGCCGGAACCAGCGAGAAUAUCAAAAACUCCGAUCGAAACUUAACAUACGCCACCUUUUGUCUCUAUUUUACCUCGCUGGACCUCCGGCGAGAUGGAAACAAAAAAUUCAGUUCCGGGUAUGCCGAGCUCCAUGGAUGGUUAAGUCGAAAUCUGCAAUUUUAGGUUUGCAAGUUGAGGAUUUAAUUUGAGUUGGAUUUUUCAUUGUCGUGGCUCAAGUUGAGGUUCGCGAAAGUGUAUUUUCUUAUAAUAUUCUCCGAAAGUUCUGAAUCAGGUACAUUUCUAACCUCUACUAUUUGAUUUCUUUGUUUACGAUACCCAAUGUUAUGGAUAGAAUGCUUUGGUUGAUGAUAUGAUCUUGAUUGUGGGGUUGAGCAAGUCUAAUUUUUUUUGGUGAUUCUACGUUGAAGUUGGUUAAUUAAUAGAAAAUAAUUUGUUGUUUGAGCAUAUUUGAAUCUUUGUUAUAGGUUGGUUGAUGUUGAAUUUGAAUGUGGAAACUUGAAUUGGAAGUCGAAGCAUUGAUU
rnacentral:lncRNA from 1 species